rnacentral:rRNA from 1 species
CCUACGGGUGGCUGCAGUAGGGAAUCUUCCGCAAUGGACGAAAGUCUGACGGAGCAACGCCGCGUGAGUGAAGAAGGUUUUCGGAUCGUAAAACUCUGUUGUAAGGGAAGAACAAGUACGUUAGUAACUGAACGUACCUUGACGGUACCUUACCAGAAAGCCACGGCUAACUACGUGCCAGCAGCCGCGGUAAUACGUAGGUGGCAAGCGUUAUCCGGAAGUAUUGGGCGUAAAGCGCGCGUAGGCGGUAUCGUAAGUACUAUGUGAAAGGCCGCGGAUCAACCGGGGAGAGUGAUUGGAAACGUGGAGAAUUGAGUGCAGAAGAGGAGAGUGGAAUUCCAUGUGUAGCGGUGAAAUGCGCAGAGAUAUGGAGGAACACCAGUGGCGAAGGCGGCUCUCUGGUCUGUAACGGACGCUGAGGUGAGAAAGCGUGGGGAUCAAACAGGAUUCGAUACCCUUGUAGUC